rnacentral:rRNA from 1 species
AGCGAACGCUGGCGGCAGGCCUAACACAUGCAAGUCGAACGAACCCUUCGGGGUUAGUGGCGGACGGGUGAGUAACACGUGGGAACGUGCCUUUAGGUUCGGAAUAGCUCAGGGAAACUUGUGCUAAUACCGAAUGUGCCCUUCGGGGGAAAGAUUUAUCGCCUUUAGAGCGGCCCGCGUCUGAUUAGCUAGUUGGUGAGGUAAUGGCUCACCAAGGCUACGAUCAGUAGCUGGUCUGAGAGGAUGACCAGCCACAUUGGGACUGAGACACGGCCCAAACUCCUACGGGAGGCAGCAGUGGGGAAUCUUGCGCAAUGGGCGAAAGCCUGACGCAGCCAUGCCGCGUGGAUGAUGAAGGUCUUAGAAUUGUAAAAUCCUUUCACCGGUGAAGAUAAUGACUGUAGCCGGAGAAGAAGCCCCGGCUAACUUCGUGCCAGCCGCCGCCGUAAAAC